GAUGAACGCUGGCGGCGUGCCUAAUACAUGCAAGUCGAGCGAACAGACGAGGAGCUUGCUCCUCUGACGUUAGCGGCGGACGGGUGAGUAACACGUGGAUAACCUACCUAUAAGACUGGGAUAACUUCGGGAAACCGGAGCUAAUACCGGAUAAUAUAUUGAACCGCAUGGUUCAAUAGUGAAAGACGGUUUUGCUGUCACUUAUAGAUGGAUCAGCGCCGCAUUAGCUAGUUGGUAAGGUAACGGCUUACCAAGGCAACGAUGCUUAGCCGACCUGAGAGGGUGAUUGGCCACACGGGAACUGAGACACGGCACAGACUCCUACGGGGGGCCGCAGUAGGGAAUCUUCCGCAAUGGGCGAAAGCCUGACGGAGCAACGCCGCGUGAGUGAUGAAGGUCUUCGGAUCGUAAAACUCUGUUAUUAGGGAAGAACAAAUGUGUAAGUAACUAUGCACGUCUUGACGGUACCUAAUCAGAAAGCCACGGCUAACUACGUG
rnacentral:rRNA from 1 species